rnacentral:rRNA from 1 species
AGCGCAGGCGGGAAGACAAGUUGGGAGUGAAAUCUAUGGGCUCAACCCAUAAACUGCUUUCAAAACUGUUUUUCUUUGAGUAGUGCAGAGGUAGGCGGAAUUCCCGGUGUAGCGGUGGAAUGCGUAGAUAUCGGGAGGAACACCAGUGGCGAAGGCGGCCUACUGGGCACCAACUGACGCUGAGGCUCGAAAGUGUGGGUAGCAGACA